UGCGCGGUAGGAGAGCGUUCUAAGGGCGUUGAAGGUCGAUCGUGAGGACGGCUGGAGCGCUUAGAAGUGAGAAUGCCGGCAUGAGUAGCGAAAGAUCAGUGAGAAUCUGAUCCACCGUAUGACUAAGGUUUCCUGGGGAAGGCUCGUCCUCCCAGGGUUAGUCGGGAUCUAAGGCGAGGCCGCAAGGCGUAGUCGAUGACAAGCAGGUUGAGAUUCCUGCACUAGUUUAUUUUGUUUAAGCGAUGGAGGGACGCAGGAGGCUAAGGAAAGCGCACGGCUGGAAAAGUGCGUCCAAGCAGUAAGUCCGGUGGCGAGUGAAAUGCUUGCCGCCUUAAGGACAAGCUGUGAUGGGGAGCGAAAUUAAAGUAGCGAAGUUCCUGAUGUCACACUGCCAAGAAAAGCUUCUAGUGAGAAAUAAACUACCCGUACCGCAAACCGACACAGGUAGUCGAGGAGAGUAUCCUCAGGUGAGCGAGCGAACUCUCGUUAAGGAACUCGGCAAAAUGACCCCGUAACUUCGGAAGAAGGGGUGCUGACCGCAAGGUCAGCCGCAGUGAAUAGGCCCAAACAACUGUUUAUCAAAAACACAGGUCUCUGCUAAAUCGUAAGAUGAUGUAUAGGGGCUGACGCCUGCCCGGUGCUGGAAGGUUAAGAGGAUGAGUUAGCGCAAGCGAAGCCCAGAAUUGAAGCCCCAGUAAACGGCGGCCGUAACUAUAACGGUCUAAGGUAGCGAAAUUCCUUGUCGGGUAAGUUCCGACCCGCACGAAAGGCGUAAUGAUUUGGGCACUGUCUCAACGAGAGACUCGGUGAAAUUAUAGUACCCGUGAAGAUGCGGGUUACCCGCGACAGGACGGAAAGACCCCAUGGAGCUUUACUGUAGCUUGAUAUUGAGUGUUGGUACCGCUUGUACAGGAUAGGUAGGAGCCGUAGAGAUCGGAACGCUAGUUUCGAUGGAGGCAUUGGUGGGAUACUACCCUAGCUGUAUGAACACUCUAACCCGCGCCACUAAUCGUGGCGGGAGACAGUGUCAGGUAGGCAGUUUGACUGGGGCGGUCGCCUCCUAAAAUGUAACGGAGGCGCCCAAAGGUUCCCUCAGAAUGGUUGGAAAUCAUUCGCAGAGUGUAAAGGUAGAAGGGAGCUUGACUGCGAGACUGACAAGUCGAGCAGGGACGAAAGUCGGGCUUAGUGAUCCGGUGGUUCCGUAUGGAAGGGCCAUCGCUCAACGGAUAAAAGCUACCCUGGGGAUAACAGGCUUAUCUCCCCCAAGAGUCCACAUCGACGGGGAGGUUUGGCACCUCGAUGUCGGCUCAUCGCAUCCUGGGGCUGUAGUCGGUCCCAAGGGUUGGGCUGUUCGCCCAUUAAAGCGGUACGCGAGCUGGGUUCAGAACGUCGUGAGACAGUUCGGUCCCUAUCCGUCGCGGGCGCAGGAAAUUUGAGAGGAGCUGUCCUUAGUACGAGAGGACCGGGAUGGACGUUCCGCUGGUGUACCAGUUGUGCCGCCAGGCGCAUCGCUGGGUAGCUAUGAACGGAAGGGAUAAACGCUGAAAGCAUCUAAGUGUGAAGCCCCCCUCGAGAUGAGAUUUCCCAUUCCU
rnacentral:rRNA from 1 species